GCGUCGAGGACUGAACCUCUAUAUAUGGGCGCGCUUUACCAGAUGUCCGAAGUUUGGUCCUCGCCGUCUCUCCUCCGCCUUCUGCAGCGUUCAGAUCUGAUCAAAGAGGGGAGAGCGUCACGCUGUGCUCAAGUUCUCCUAGACUCCAAAGUCUUCCUCUCUGGGCCAUGUGUGGGGCAUGGAGGAACAUGCUAAGGUGGCACCCUCCACGGCCGCUCUGGCCAUUUGUCACCAGUCCUCGAGGCUUCCUGCAGCUUGUAAAGAGGUUCAGGUCAGCGUCCUUGCAUCUCGCUGUCCUCUACCAUGUCAGCAGUGCAGCACAGAUAAAUGACCUGACAAGCCCACAGAAUGGAACCGCAUGGUAAAAUCCCGCAAGUAAUCCUUCAAGCUUCUUUUCCUUUUUAUGGCAUUUAGGUGUCAAUGUGACUCUCUUGAAUCUCACUUAACUUUUGGAUUAAUUUAGUUACAUUUGCUAGGAUUGUUAGCCUUUGACACUAGCAGCAGAUUUCAGGGGGAUCUGUUAAUUAGUCAUUGUUGACUUGUUGACGCAUUUUAACUAUAACUGUGUUUGAUGUAAUAAAAGUGCUGGUUUCAUAUUUUGGUUGAUACAAAAGAUCUAUUUUAAUUCUAUUUUGCCUUGAUUUCCUUUCAUAUCGUUAGUCUUGAAAGUUUCAUCUGAAAUCAUAAUAUUAAUUUCCUAUUUCCAUUUUUCUUUCAUAUCAAAACUGUCGUCAGGAGAUUCAUGAUGUAGACUUUGUUUAGCCUCUCUUUUUUCAAGCACAAUUUAUCUUGUUGAGUCACCUCUUUGCAUAUGAUCUUCCAUUCUUUGUUUCUGAAGAUACUAUGUUAGUUCUAAAAAAGUAUAUAUAUAUAUAUAUGUAUAAAACAAUAUUGAUUGACAAAAUUUAAAGCAUCAGAGCUGAGUCCAAUGAGCCUGAAAAUGUGCUCUGCUGCUGUUCCACUAAUGGCCAUGGGGGGGCAGUGCUGCAUUGUGAGAAACACUGCCUGUGGAAAAGCCCAGUUUAUGGAUCUCUGCUCCCCCAUGCAUUCUGCAGUAUUUGUGAAAAAUGGCUAUUCUGGGAGCAUAUCUCCCCCCAGAGAUUGGCCAUCCUAUUAAGGUGCAAAUUACCAACACGUUGUCCAUGUUGGAACAAUGCAAUCCUGGCUCUGUGAAGGUAAUUAUUAUAUCUGUCUCAAUUGUCUUUGCCCUGUGUGCAAAAGUCUCCUCUCAUCCUUUAACUAGUAAAUGUUGGUCCCUAAAGGAGGAUGGCUGCCACUCCUCCAUACUGAGAUUGACUUGUUUUUAUUGAAGUGACUUAGUGCAGAGUUAACUUCGCUUGGUGUCUGUUUUUGUGUGUGGGUUUCCCUUUCAAUAAUUGUCAUGCCUUUAAAGUAAGAUUUUGUGUUGUAGUAUGUGCAUCGUGUGUGUGUGUGUGUGUGUGUGUGUGUGUGUGUGUGUGUGUGUGUGU